rnacentral:rRNA from 1 species
GGGUGAGUAACACGUGGGUAACCUGCCCAUAAGACUGGGAUAACUCCGGGAAACCGGGGCUAAUACCGGAUAAUAUUUUGAACUGCAUGGUUCGAAAUUGAAAGGCGGCUUCGGCUGUCACUUAUGGAUGGACCCGCGUCGCAUUAGCUAGUUGGUGAGGUAACGGCUCACCAAGACAACGAUGCGUAGCCGACCUGAGAGGGUGAUCGGCCACACUGGGACUGAGACACGGCCCAG